AGGAUUGUGGUGUAAUGGUUAGCAUAUUAGACUUUGAAUCUAAUGGCGAGGGUUCGAUUCCCUCCAGUCCUU
rnacentral:tRNA from 1 species